GAAGCCUGGAGAAGCAGAUGGAAUCAGUGAGCUCAGGUGGCCAACACGAGCUCCGUGUUCUCACCGUCUGGUCCACACUGUGACUUCUAUGGUCAGGAAUUUGAGGGUUUUCCUCUUUGUCUGCAUUCUCUUUGAUGGGCGGGUUACAUUGCAGACAAAACACAAGAAUGAAUGGGGAAAGAGGUUUAGUUAUUCAUUAGUUACCCAGUGAAAUAAUAGAAAAUUUUUAAGAUGACCAACAUGUGUGAUGGAGCAAACAUAGCUCUUAGAACUUUGUCCCCAAGGUAGGAAAGGAACAAAUACUUACCCUCUGAAGUCAUGACACUUCAUGAGGUUGUUUUAUGUGUGGUGGUUCCUUGAAGCCAGCAGUCUACCAGCCAUGUUUGUUUUAUUGUCACAGAUACGGCAAACAAACCUCCGCAAACCACUUCCCAGAAAGCAUGGGUCCCAUAUGGCUGGACGAUGUCACCUGCUCCGGAAAGGAAACCAGUUUCCUCGACUGUUCCAGGAAGCCCUGGGGGCGGCAUGACUGUGGCCAUCGCAAGGACGUUGGAGUCGCCUGCUACCCUGGCAGCGAGGGACACAGACUUUCUCUGGGUUUUCCUCUCCGACUGGUGUAUGGAGAAAACAAGAAGGAGGGAUGCAUGGAGGUUUUUAUCCAUGGCCAGUGGGGAACCAUCUGCGACGAUGGAUGGAGUGACAAGGACGCAGCUGUGGUCUGUCGGCAGCUUGGCUUUAAGGGCCCCGCCAGAGCACGAGGCGUGGCUUACUUUGGGGAAGGAGCAGGACCCAUCCACGUGGACAACGUGAAGUGCACAGGACAUGAGAGGUCCUUGGCUGACUGCAUCAAGCAGGACAUCGGAAGACACAACUGCCGCCACAGCGAGGAUGCGGGCGUUAUUUGCGAUUAUUCUGGCAAGAAAGCGUCAGGUAACAGUAAGAAAGGGCCCCUGGCGUCUGUCUGUGGGCUGAGGUUACUGCACCGUCGGCAGAAGUGGAUCAUUGGUGGGAAAAAUUCCUUAAGGAUUUCUUGCUAUGGAUGAACUUUUUCAAGACUUAAAAAAGGGACAAGCUUCCUGGUUAAAGUCAUGUCAAAGCUGACCCCAUGGCUUGGUUACUGGACUCUGCCUUACUGUCUAGCUCAUACAUUAAUAAAUGGGCACCUUAGCUCUGCUCUGCAGCUCUGGAGACCGUGCUUAGAGCAGGGUUGCCAGAGACGAUGCAGACUUUCAAAAUGUAAGUAAAUACAGAUGAUGUUUAGAUAAAAUGCAAAGUAAAAAAUUUGAAUUUCAGACAGACAACCAAUAUUUUUUUAGUAUAAGUAUGUCACAAAUAUUGCACGACAACCCCAGAUCGGAAGCCAUCUUUCAAAUCAACCUUGAGUUCUGAGGCGCUGAGAAGCACUGCUCAGCUCGUCCAUUGCCACAUUGUCCCUCUUUCCCUGGGGCCUGAGCACUGUCAGGGGCGACCCUAUCUCGCUCUGGGGAGGAGCGUGCGGUGCGGCGGGACGAGCUCAGGGAGUGGACAGCUGCCGGGCAGCCACGCGAGCCCAGGCAGCCCCAGCCAGUCCAGCAACCCAGCUCUUCUGGGAAGGAGGUUUAAACAAAUACCCUCCACUGGGAAGAAAGAGAUCACGGUGUCUGUGGGUUCUCAGUAUUGGGUGUGUAUGUAAAGCUGUAUGAAAUCGUGUGAAGAGAUUAAAAUUUUAAUGACCACCCUUUGCACUCUAAGGAUCUAUCAAAAUUCCGCCUUGAGCUUCCUGAGAGAGAAACUUCCUUUCCCGUCUCGUUGAUAAACCGACACGGGUUCUGUUUGCUCUGUAAAUGUAUGAAAAAAGGGCUGGCCUUUCAGUUCCUGGUUUGGUAAGGACUGUUGAGAAUCUGGAAGUCCUUGGACAGGCUAAUGAAAUGGAAUUCUGAAGACACUACCCGGAAUCUUAUCAAAUUCAAAGUGAACUAUAAAUUUUUAUCACUUUUUGAAACCCAAGUGCAAGCCCAACUAACCUGGAGGUAGAAUUGGGCCUGUCCACCUGGAUCGGGAAUGGAGGCAGAGGCUGCAACGUGUCCCACGAGUCCGGUGGGGCAGAUCCUGGCUGACGUACGAAGACUCAUUGUUUUCAUCUUCAUUAUCCGUAGAAAUACACCCCAACUGACUGCAGAAAGGUAAUCGAACUGAUCAGCAAAUUCAUAUUAAAUAAGGCAUCUGGAGAAGAUAUUUUUGACACUCAAAGUUGUUUUUAAAGUUUUGGGUUCUAAUUCUUGUCAUCUUAUUUAUUACUGUUAACUCUGCAGAUAAUAAUUUUACCAGUUUUAUUUCAAAAUGUAGUCCAUCUUUUUUCUUUUAGAGCAAUCGCUCUCACUCCCUCUCAACCAUAUACUUUUCCUCUGUGCUUACUUUCUGAAUGUUAAUAUGAGUGGACUGUCCAGGUCAACAUUCUG